rnacentral:rRNA from 1 species
CAGGGAUGGGCCCGCGGCCUAUCAGCUAGUUGGUGGGGUAAUGGCCUACCAAGGCGACGACGGGUAGCCGGCCUGAGAGGGCGACCGGCCACACUGGGACUGAGACACCGGCCCAGACUCCUACGGGAGGCAGCAGGUGGGGAAUAUUGCGCAAUGGGCGAAAGCCUGACGCAGCGACGCCGCGUGAGGGAUGAAGGCCUUCGGGUUGUAAACCUCUUUCAGCAGGGACGAAGCGAAAGUGACGGUACCUGCAGAAGAAGCACCGGCUAACUACGUG